AUUGAACGCUGGCGGCAGGCUUAACACAUGCAAGUCGAACGAGUGGCGGACGGGUGAGUAAUGCUUGGGAAUCUAGCUUAUGGAGGGGGCUAACUACGGGAAACUGUAGCUAAUACCGCGUACCAUAGGAUGAGCCCAGGUGGGAUUCGGUAGUUGGUGGGGUAAAGGCUCACCAAGCCGACGAUCGCUAGCUGGUCUGAGAGGAUGACCAGCCAAACUGGAACUGAGACACGGCCCAGACGCCUACGGGAGGCAGCAGGGGGGAAUAUUGCGCAAUGGGGGCAACCUGACGCAGCCAUGCCGCGUGAAUGAAGAAGGCCUUCGGGUUGUAAAGUUCUUUCAGUAGGGAGGCGUUAACUACAGAAGAAGCACCGGCUAACUCCGUGCCAGCAGCCGCGGUAAUUC
rnacentral:rRNA from 1 species